rnacentral:rRNA from 1 species
AUGGCUCAGGAUGAACGCUAGCGGCAGGCUUAACACAUGCAAGUCGAGGGGCAGCGGGAUGUAGCAAUACAUUGCCGGCGACCGGCGGAUGGGUGCGUAACGCGUAUGCAACCUACCUUAUACAGGGGAAUAACCUUUCGAAAGGGAGACUAACACCCCAUGGUAUUGAUUUAAGGCAUCUUAGAUUAAUUAAAUAUUUAUAGGUAUAAGAUGGGCAUGCGUAUGAUUAGCUAGUUGGUAAGGUAACGGCUUACCAAGGCGACGAUCAUUAGGGGUUCUGAGAGGAAGGUCCCCCACACUGGUACUGAGACACGGACCAGACUCCUACGGGAGGCAGCAGUGAGGAAUAUUGGUCAAUGGGCGCAAGCCUGAACCAGCCAUGCCGCGUGCAAGGAAGACGGCCUUAUGGGUUGUAAACUGCUUUUACAUAAGACUAACCGUAUAUUUGCGAAUAUACCUGAAUGUAUUAUGAGAAUAAGGAUCGGCUAACUCCGUGCCAGCCGCCGC